rnacentral:rRNA from 1 species
UGGGGAAUUUUGGACAAUGGGCGAAAGCCUGAUCCAGCAAUGCCGCGUGAGUGAAGAAGGCCUUCGGGUUGUAAAGCUCUUUUGUCAGGGAAGAAAACGGUGAGAGCUAAUAUCUUUUGCUAAUGACGGUACCUGAAGAAUAAGCACCGGCUAACUACGUGCCAGCAGCCGCGGUAAUACGUAGGGUGCAAGCGUUAAUCGGAAUUACUGGGCGUAAAGUGUGCGCAGGCGGUUUUGUAAGUCUGAUGUGAAAUCCCCGGGCUCAACCUGGGAAUUGCGUUGGAGACUGCGAGGCUAGAAUCUGGCAGAGGGGGGUAGAAUUCCACGUGUAGCAGUGAAAUGCGUAGAUAUGUGGAGGAACACCGAUGGCGAAGGCAGCCCCCCUGGGUCAAGAUUGACGCUCAUGCACGAAAGCGUGGGGAGCAAAACAGGAUUAGAUACCCCUGGUAGUCCACGCCCUAAACGAAUGUCUACUAGUUGUCAGGUCUUAAUUGACUUGGUAACGCAGCUAACGCGUGAAGUAGACCGCCUGGGGAGUACGGUCGCAAGAUUAAAACUCAAAAGGAAUUGNCGGGGGUCAUAGCUGUUUCCUG